CGGGUGAGUAACGCGUGAGGAACCUGCCUCAAAGAGGGGGACAACAGUUGGAAACGACUGCUAAUACCGCAUAAGCCCACGGCUCGGCAUCGAGCAGAGGGAAAAGGAGUGAUCCGCUUUGAGAUGGCCUCGCGUCCGAUUAGCUAGUUGGUGAGGUAACGGCCCACCAAGGCAACGAUCGGUAGCCGGAUUGAGAGGUUGAACGGCCACAUUGGGACUGAGACACGGCCCAG
rnacentral:rRNA from 1 species